GAUACGGAUCCAAGGCAUAUUUUGAGGAUAAAAAACUUAAUUGAGCUUAUAAAGGACAUUUGUGGGUGAAGGAGACAUAUUCGGGAUAAGUCAAAGUCAAAGUCAAAAUCAAAGUUAAACAAAAAUGCAAUAUUUUUGGAAAAAAUGAAUUUUGCGAAAUUUCAAGGUUAUAAUUGAGUUGUUAUUGGUUUGCUUGAGUUAAUUUGUGCUGGAAUUAAGAAGAGAAAACAAGCGAAAGAAGUGGGUAGACCCGGGAGAGGGACAAACUUAGAGUAAUUUGGGAUUUUGUUUAAUUUAUUUGAGGAAUAGUGGGAAUAAAUCCAAUUUGCAAUUAUACUUGGCAUUAUUUCAUAAGGAAGUAAGUUGAAGAUAAACGUAAGGAUGUUAGGACACAUAAGUUCGAGCAGCUUAUGUAAGGAAGAGAAAUAAGGCGGUGUGAUGAAAUGAAUAGGGAAAAUCCUUAAAUUCUUUGAUAGAAUCACAGAGAGGCGAGUGAAGGAGAUGAUCGAGGGCUGCAGGGACAACUGGAGCUUGGAAAUACAAAAAAAAAAAAAAAAAAUGAGGAGUAGUGGUUGCCAGAAUUCGAGUAAAAACAGAGAGGCUCUCGGUUUUUGUCAAAUUCAUGGACGUACGGGCAAACUUGAAGCUCCAAAUUCGAAGUUAAGGGGUGCUGUGGAACAGUUUGCUCAAUUUCGGGAGAAUUAGGGCGAUUUGGACUUCCAAAAUUUGAGGCAGGUAGCUCAAAGAGUGGUUAAAAGGUUUGUAUAGUUAAUUAGAGUGGGUAUGGCAAGAAAUUGAUGAAUUGUAGCCUGAAAUCACGUCAGAAAAAACAGAGGCCGAAUCUGGAAAUUUUGGGGUUGGAGGUUGAAGAUGAAACCUGUAUGUCAUCUUUUGUCCGCCAUUAAGGUAUUUUAAAGCAUGAUUAAAGGUUUAAUUAGUAUUAUUUGAAGGGAAUCGUAUCCCAUGGAAGCGUGUAAUCGCGGUGUAAUUUCGAAAUCGGUUUUUAUGAAAUAUAAAAAAGUAAACAAUUUACAUUAAA